CCCAGACUCCUACGGGAGGCAGCAGUGGGGGAUAUUGCACAAUGGGGGGAACCCUGAUGCAGCGACGCCGCGUGGGUGAAGGAGCGUUUCGGCGCGUAAAGCCCUAUCGGCAGGGAAGAAGGAGGACGGUACCUGACUAAGAAGCCCCGGCUAACUACGUGCCAGCAGCCGCGGUAAUACGUAGGGUGCAAGCGUUAUCCGGAUUUACUGGGUGUAAAGGGGGCGCAGACGGCAGCGCAAGCCAGGAGUGAAAGCCCGGGGCCCAACCCCGGGACUGCUCUUGGAACUGCGCGGCUGGAGUGCAGGAGGGGCAGGCGGAAUUCCUGGUGUAGCGGUGAAAUGCGUAGAUAUCAGGAGGAACACCGGUGGCGAAGGCGGCCUGCUGGACUGCGACUGACGUUGAGGCCCGAAAGCGUGGGGAGCAAACAGGAUUAGAUACCCUCGUA
rnacentral:rRNA from 1 species